UAGGUUCGAGGUGGAAGCGUAGCGAUACGUGGAGCUGACGAAUACUAAUCGAUCGAAGACUUAAUCAA
rnacentral:rRNA from 1 species